rnacentral:rRNA from 1 species
UAGGGAAUCUUCCACAAUGGGCGCAAGCCUGAUGGAGCAACACCGCGUGAGUGAAGAAGGGUUUCGGCUCGUAAAGCUCUGUUGUUAAAGAAGAACACGUAUGAGAGUAACUGUUCAUACGUUGACGGUAUUCAACCAGAAAGUCACGGCUAACUACGUGCCAU